rnacentral:rRNA from 1 species
UAAGGAAUAUUGCUCAAUGGGAGAAAUCCUGAAGCAGCAACGCCGCGUGGAGGAUGAAGGGUCUAUGACUUGUAAACUCCUGUAAGGAAGGAAAAAAUUCCCAUUUGAUGGGAGAUGAUGGUACUUCUGGAGUAAGCCCCGGCUAACUACGUGCCAGCAGCCGCGGUAAUACGUAGGGGGCAAGCGUUGUCCGGAUUUACUGGGUGUAAAGGGUGCUCAGGCGGAUUUGUAAGUCAGAGGUGAAAUCUUACAGCUUAACUGUGAAACUGCCUUUGAUACUGCAAGCCUAGAGUAUGGAAGAGAGUGAUGGAAUAUCUGGUGUAGCAGUGAAAUGCGUAGAUAUCAGAUAGAACACCAAUGGCGAAGGCAGUCACUUGGUCCAUUACUGACGCUAAAGCACGAAAGCGUGGGUAGCAAACA